UACGGAGGGUGCAAGCGUUAUCCGGAUUUACUGGGUUUAAAGGGUGUGUAGGCGGGCUUUUAAGUCAGUGGUGAAAUCUCCGAGCUCAACUUGGAAACUGCCAUUGAUACUAUUAGUCUUGAAUUCUGUUGAGGUGGGCGGAAUAAGUCAUGUAGCGGUGAAAUGCAUAGAUAUGACUUAGAACACCAAUUGCGAAGGCAGCUCACUAAACAGAUAUUGACGCUGAGGCACGAAAGCGUGGGGAUCAAACAGG
rnacentral:rRNA from 1 species